GGGAAGACGGAAGUGACACAACUCUGUGGUCUCUAAGUCUUUGAAAGGCUGGUGCUGGCCGGGGCUUAGGUUUGGUUCCAGGAUUCAUACUCCUCCAUGCAGCAAGGAGAUUCAGGAAAAGCUGGCUGAGCCAAACUUCAGAGAUGUUGCCCCAAAAUACUGCUUCCACAAGGCACAUGCUGCAGGGAGAUGGAAGGAAGGACCUUGACCCUUGAAAGCUCAUUGAGCUGCUCAGGAAACCAAA